rnacentral:rRNA from 1 species
AGAGUUUGAUCCUGGCUCAGGAUGAACGCUAGCGACAGGCUUAACACAUGCAAGUCGAGGGGCAUCAUGAGGUAGCAAUACCUUGAUGGCGACCGGCGCACGGGUGAGUAACGCGUAUGCAACCUGCCCGAUACCGGGGUAUAGCCCAUGGAAACGUGGAUUAACACCCCAUAGUACUUUUAUCCUGCAUGGGAUGUGAGUUAAAUGUUCAAGGUAUCGGAUGGGCAUGCGUCCUAUUAGUUAGUUGGCGGGGUAACAGCCCACCAAGACGAUGAUAGGUAGGGGUUCUGAGAGGAAGGUCCCCCACAUUGGAACUGAGACACGGUCCAAACUCCUACGGGAGGCAGCAGUGAGGAAUAUUGGUCAAUGGACGUAAGUCUGAACCAGCCAAGUCGCGUGAGGGAAGACUGCCCUAUGGGUUGUAAACCUCUUUUAUAAGGGAAGAAUAAGUUCUACGUGUAGAAUGAUGCCUGUACCUUAUGAAUAAGCAUCGGCUAACUCCGUGCCAGCAGCCGCGGUAAUACGGAGGAUGCGAGCGUUAUCCGGAUUUAUUGGGUUUAAAGGGUGCGUAGGCGGUUUAUUAAGUUAGUGGUUAAAUAUUUGAGCUAAACUCAAUUGUGCCAUUAAUACUGGUAAACUGGAGUACAGACGAGGUAGGCGGAAUAAGUUAAGUAGCGGUGAAAUGCAUAGAUAUAACUUAGAACUCCGAUAGCGAAGGCAGCUUACCAGACUGUAACUGACGCUGAUGCACGAGAGCGUGGGUAGCGAACAGGAUUAGAUACCCUGGUAGUCCACGCCGUAAACGAUGCUCACUGGUUCUGUGCGAUAUAUUGUACGGGAUUAAGCGAAAGUAUUAAGUGAGCCACCUGGGGAGUACGUCGGCAACGAUGAAACUCAAAGGAAUUGACGGGGGCCCGCACAAGCGGAGGAACAUGUGGUUUAAUUCGAUGAUACGCGAGGAACCUUACCCGGGCUUGAAUUGCAACUGAAUGAUGUGGAGACAUGUCAGCCGCAAGGCAGUUGUGAAGGUGCUGCAUGGUUGUCGUCAGCUCGUGCCGUGAGGUGUCGGCUUAAGUGCCAUAACGAGCGCAACCCUUAUCUUUAGUUACUAACAGGUCAUGCUGAGGACUCUAGAGAGACUGCCGUCGUAAGAUGUGAGGAAGGUGGGGAUGACGUCAAAUCAGCACGGCCCUUACGUCCGGGGCUACACACGUGUUACAAUGGGGGGUACAGAAGGCAGCUACACGGCGACGUGAUGCUAAUCCCUAAAGCCUCUCUCAGUUCGGAUUGGAGUCUGCAACCCGACUCCAUGAAGCUGGAUUCGCUAGUAAUCGCGCAUCAGCCAUGGCGCGGUGAAUACGUUCCCGGGCCUUGUACACACCGCCCGUCAAGCCAUGGGAGCCGGGGGUACCUGAAGUACGUAACCGCAAGGAUCGUCCUAGGGUAAAACUGGUGACUGGGGCUAAGUCGUAACAAGGUAGCCGUACCGGAAGGUGCGGCUG